UGUGUAAUUACCAAAUUGCCCCUCGACUUAAUUCCGUUUAGUCGCACGAAUUAGAUACCUUUCGCAGGCUCUUCUAAAAGUCCAUUUGAGCUCAAAUUUGACAGGCAUGUUCGGUUUUACUUAACAAGUCCAAAGAAAUUUUAACAUUUCAGUUCCGACCCCAUUUGGUCACUGCGAAUUGUACCGAACUGCAAUCUUUAUCCGAUAACUUUCGGAUUCAAUUUCUCUCUCUACAGGUGUCAGAAUAAUAUGAAACUUGAAAUCUGGCCUCAUAAACAUAUUUCUGACAUAUCCUCCAAUUUUCAUAAUUUUCUGACACUGUGCAUUUUCUGCUAAUUUCUCAGUCCCAUUCUUUACAGAAAAUUCCAAUUCUUCUGUUUUCGCUCCGAUUCCAACACGAGUCAUUCCAGACUUAUAUCUUACACCCUUAAGUCCAAUCAAAUGGUAUCUCACAUCAAAUUAUAAUACUUUGCUCACUUUAAUUCUCUUAAUCAAAGUUAGCGUCGGAAUCUGACAAUUUUCUUUACAUUUCGUUUCGCGCCCAAUCUGCGCCGAAACACUUAUUUAUCUCCAGAAUUCAUUCUCACGCGUCCAAAAUCACUCGGGGAAGAUGUCCAACUAGCUCCAUCCUCACUUUGAUCUAGGGGAUUAAAGUUGACAUCGCAACUCCAAGAUACCAUAUAUUACAGCUUCCUUGCCUCAGCUUCCUAAAAUCCUCCUUGAUCUUCCUCUUAUCGCUUUCGU
rnacentral:lncRNA from 1 species